rnacentral:rRNA from 1 species
ACGCGAGGAACCUUACCUGGGCUUGACAUAUAGAGGAUCGCUACAGAGAUGUGGUUUCCCUUGUGGCUUCUAUACAGGUGGUGCAUGGUUGUCGUCAGCUCGUGUCGUGAGAUGUUGGGUUAAGUCCCGCAACGAGCGCAACCCUUGUCUUAUGUUGCCAGCACGUUAUGGUGGGGACUCGUGAGAGACUGCCGGGGUCAACUCGGAGGAAGGUGGGGAUGACGUCAAAUCAUCAUGCCCCUUAUGUCCA